rnacentral:misc_RNA from 1 species
CUCAGCCUCAGCCUCAGCCUCAGCAGCUUCUACUUCUUCUAAGAAGAAGCCUCUCGUGUUCUUGGGCUCUCCUCAGGUCUCUACAACUGUGCUAGACGCGCUCUUCAAUGCAUCUUCAGCACCCAAUUCCAUCUUUGAGAUUGCAGCGAUUGUUACUCAGCCACCUGCAAGAAAAGGUAGGGGUAAAAAGCUGAUGCCUUCACCAGUUGCUCAGUAUGCAAUCAAUAGAGGCUUCCCCUAUGACCUCAUUUUCACACCUGAACGAGCUGGAGAGGAUGCCUUUUUGUGUGGUCUAAGAGCAUUGCAGCCUGAACUUUGCAUUACUGCAGCUUAUGGGAACAUCUUACCUAUGCAAUUUCUCAAAAUUCCAUCAAUGGGUUAGUCAAAUGUGCUUCUGUUAGAAAAUUGAAAAUUUGUUUAUCUGCUACUUUUAAAAUGAAAAAGCCAUAUGUCUAAUUAGAUGGCAGUAAUUUUCAUUUUUGGUUGUGUUUGCUGGACAGUUAUUGGAUUAACUGUCAAUGCAGUAAUGUUUACAAUCCAAAAUUACAUUUGAUAGGAACAAGGACUGCAAAUUAGCUCUGCUGAGCUGAUCUCUGAUGUUUAUAGGCUUGGCUUGGCUCUUCUUUUACUAGGUGUGAGCUUAGUAAUACAAAAACUAACAGGCAAGGGCUUAACUUGAGCUUGACUUUAAUUAAUCUCAUAAUAAAUAAAUUUUAAAUGAGUUAAAACAAGCCAAAGAUAACCCAAAUACAUUAUUUAUAAUAUUUUAUUGUUUCAAAGUUUCUCAAGUCAAUAUGUGGUUUUCUCAGGGACAGUCAAUGUACACCCAAGUCUAUUGCCACUUUACCGUGGUGCUGCUCCUGUUCAAAGAGCAUUGCAGGUUCCUUAUUUUCAUAGGAUGCCUUUGCUAGUUAUAUUAAAUGCCUAUACAGUCCCAUAUUAUGCAUUUAUAAUUUUCUGCAUUAGGAUGGUGUUAAAGAAACUGGAGUAUCCUUAGCCUUCACUGUUCGUGCUCUAGAUGCUGGGCCUGUCAUUGCCCAUGAAAGGCUGGAUGUUGAUGAUGAAAUUAAGGUGCAAUUGGUGCUUAUAUGGGCUACGUUUUACAUUUUAAUUAACAUAAUACAAAUGAUCCUCAUACAAAUAGUGGCUGAAGUUUUAUAUUCAAUUAUUCUACGUAUUUGCUAAUGCAUUUUAUUUGACAAAAUGGAUAGGGUUGGACCAUGUAGCUAUGACAUGCCUUGUAGUUGAUAUUUAUUUAGGCAGGUUGAGUCUCCGCCUGUUUCCCAAUGCUGGUUCAGCCAAUAUCAUUGAAUAUUGCUAACUUUAGUAUUUUUGCAAGAACAACUACUUUUAAGACCUAAAUCCUAGUUCUUGGCUGUUAGCUCAAUAUAUAGUGAUUGUGCAAGACAGAGGUUCCCUCAAAAUUGCACUUUUUUUUCUCAUUGCAUUUAUUUUUCUCUUGUUACUCGUGCAUGGUCUUACUCAGAGCAGCAGCGGCAGUACUGACUCUUAUCUUUGCUUGUUGAAUUAGCUUAUCAUGAUAUUUUAGCUAACUUUUUCCUUUACAUGCAAUUCUUGGCUUAGAAGGCAAUGAUUACUUUUGAAUAAUUUUAUCACCAUCAUUUAUAUUGAUUACACUUGCAGGCUCCUGAUUUACUUGAUUUGCUAUUUUCUCAAGGUAUGUGUGUUCUCUAACUUAUGCAAUGUAUUAGUCAUUGUCGCCUACUCUUGCAUUUAUACCUCAAAAUAUCUUAGCUCAUAGUUAAUUUGUUCUUCUUUGUCUAUGUGCUCAAAAUAUUUAUUUGAAAUCAAGUUUGAUUCACCAGAUGAAUUUUAAUCUUCUGUUAUUCAUUUGAGUUCAUAAAUGCAAAAUAAAGUUUAUCGUAUCAUCAGAAUUUAACCUUAUAAGUGUGCUCAAUUCACUAUUAAAUAAAUAUCGCUAUAUAUCUUGAACUGUUCUUGUAAAAAGUGGGGUUGAAGAACUCUAUAGUUCUAGUUUUGGCUCUACCAUAGUAUCGACAAUGAGAUCUGUCUGUUUCUUAAGUGAUCUAAUUCAACUUGAAGGCAGGGGGAAAAAAUAGACAAAGGAAGGCAAAAUGAAAUGGGUAAGAGAAUCGAGAGGAGAUAGUCACUAAUAACUUGAUGGAGAAUAUGGUUUUUAAUGGGGAAAAAAUGGGGGGAGAGAGAUUGUGGCUCAGGCAGGAAUGCAGGAUAAGAAUUUAUUGACUUGUUCCUAGGCAUUCAUGUUUCGAAAUGUUUCAGUGGUUUAAAUUUAUUAAUCCUGCAACUGAUGUUAUAUGUUAGCAUUUAAUUUGGUUCAUUAAUAUUGUCUGUUUUCCAGCAUCAUCUCUCUUUACUUAAUUUGUGGUGAAUUUGUGUUGUAGCAUUCUAUUGGAUGAAUUCUUUCAUUGCGCCAAUCAUUUCUAUUAAUGAAUGAUAUAACUUAGCAGGAUCUAAACUUCUGAUUCAUGAGCUUCCUGCUAUAUUUGAUGGGUCAGCUAGAGCAAAAGCUCAACCACAAGAUGAUUCUAAAGCUACUUUGGCUCCAAAAAUAGCUCCUGAGGAGUCAUGGAUAUCCUUUGAUGAAGAAGCUUGGGUCCUACAUAACAAGGGUGGCCAGGAACACGAGCUAAAUUAAUGCUUGCUGACAGCAAAGAUGGUCAGCAAAACAUCAUUGAACUGAAGAUCAUUACUACAAGAGUUUGCCACCAUGGCAUUGUCCAGGGCAAUGAAAUGGACGAAAUAACUUUUUCCAAGGGUUCUUUGGUGUUUCCUUGCAGAAACUCCACUGCACUUGAGGUAUUGGAAGUUCAGCUUCCUGGCAAGAAGGUGGUAAGUGCAGCUGCCUUUUGGAAUGGUUUGCGAGGUCAAAAGCUGAAGAAAUUAUAGCAGAGGAAGCUUUUCAUCUAGAUGGCCGAUCUAGGUAGGGCAAAUUUGUUGAUUCUUUAGUACCAAAAACUUUGUUAAGCUCUCUAUCUAUGUAUUUUUGUUACUCAUUGUUUUGUGAUGAACUUAAAUCUCUCCGCUAAUAUUAGCCGAGCAUGGAUUUUGGAGUGUCUAACUGGCUGCAUGGCAUGAUUAUGUAAUAAAUCAAUACAAACAAUAAUAGAUCAUUCAACCUGUUAGCCAUUCAACUGGGCAGUUGGCUGCCGCGGAAUAUUCAAUUAUCAAUGUUGAGCACUUUUUUUUUUUUUUUUUUUUU